UCCGGAGGGAGCUAGCGUUGUUCGGAAUUACUGGGCGUAAAGCGCACGUAGGCGGCUUUUUAAGUCAGGGGUGAAAUCCCGGGGCUCAACCCCGGAACUGCCCUUGAAACUGGGAAGCUAGAAUCUUGGAGAGGCGAGUGGAAUUCCGAGUGUAGAGGUGAAAUUCGUAGAUAUUCGGAAGAACACCAGUGGCGAAGGCGACUCGCUGGACAAGUAUUGACGCUGAGGUGCGAAAGCGUGGGGAGAAAACAGG
rnacentral:rRNA from 1 species